rnacentral:lncRNA from 1 species
GCGCAGCUGCGGUCCCCUCAUCCCGAUCUAGAUCGCCGCAGCGGCAUCGCCGCCCACCGCUGGGGCCAUGGCGCCGGCCCGAGCCGCUGUCCGCCUCGCCCUCUCCUCCUCAUCCUGAUCUGGAACGCCGGCAGGUGCAUUGCCGCCCGCUGCCGGGGACAACCCGCCUCGCCCUCACCCCCUCAUCCCGAUCUGCAUCGAGCUAACGAGCGUCUGUACCCUUUCCCCGCCGCAGGGGCAUCGCCGCCCGGCCUGAUUCCGUGUGUGGGGCGUGGACUCGGACCCCCUCGACUACCUCAGCGGGGCAAGCGGCUGGUCCUCCGGAGUUGGAGUUCUCCUGAUCCGUUCAGAGGUUAGCGGUGAUUUCUGUUCUUUUCUUUGCGUAUAGUCCUUGUCGAUGAGGUACACCCCGACGCAUCAGUAGCAAAUUUACUAUGUUCUCAUGUCAAGAUGUCCUCUGGAAUUUUUCCAGUGAGUGUAAAUUUGUAAUCUCUGGUUCAUCUUUGUAAGUUUUUUUUUCAUUGCACUGCAUCUGCACUAAUCGCUGACUGUCCUCCUUGCAGGUUCGAGCCUUGGAUUCAUUUAUGUGUCUCCAGAAAUAUUAUCCUCGUGGUCUCAGAUUAAUAAGGCGAGGAGAUAGUAGGCUGCCAGCAAGAAGCGGCGACGGGAGUGAAUGAGUGAAACUAAUGUGUUUCUCCUUUUUCUCUUACCUGUUCAUGUUAUAAUCUUUAUACUGGAUCUUCGUGUAGGA